AGGAAUCCCUGAUAUUCUUCAUUCCAAUUGUUCCCCUCUACUGUAGGCCUCGGUAAACACUUAAGCAAGUUGCCACGCGCUGCAGCCUGCUGGAGACAUGAAGGAAUGUAGAGCGGGAUAAUCACAACAUCAUCAACCCAAUUCUCCAAGGUAGCUGGCCAAUAAUGCUGUUCUAAUUGAAUAACUUAUCCACAGCUAUUUCCCCUGGGAGAGUCAAAGGCUCAGCCUCCGCUAAGAGGCAGAUGGUGCCGCAUAUACAAUGAAACCUGUAAUUUUCUCUUGCCAUUGGACAUGCUAACAGUGGGCUGUUUCUGCUUAUUCUUUAAUAUUUUAUUUUAAUAGUCCCUUCCCAAAUUAUAAUGUACCAUGAAGCAGCCAAAGAUGGAUUGAGUGAUACAUAUCAUGUUUAAUUUAUCACACCUCUAGCUCACCGAACAACUCACUUGGUAAUCAGCAGGAGUAUAUGUCAGUCAGGUGCAAACUGAUAUGAAAGCAACAGAAAAGAACCCAAUUAAAACCAAAAGGGGAGAUGAGUCUUCAGGGUGGCAUGGCAUUAACUAGCAGCAAAGUAUGGAACAUCAAAUGCAUUCUAAUUCCGAUUUUUUUAGCGGUAAUUUGCAGUGGAAUAUGCAUACCCUGUGUAUUUGGUAAGACAAUGGAAAGAUUGUGUUUUGCUCAACCGAUUCGACCACUGGGCUCUAAAGGAGGGUGAAGGGCUAUGCAGCUGCUUGGUUU
rnacentral:lncRNA from 1 species